CUGGCGGCGUGCCUAAUACAUGCAAGUCGAACGCACUCUCGUUUAGAUUGAAGGAGCUUGCUCCUGAUUGAUAAACAUUUGAGUGAGUGGCGGACGGGUGAGUAACACGUGGGUAACCUGCCCUAAAGUGGGGGAUAGCAUUUGGAAACAGAUGCUAAUACCGCAUAAAACCUAACACCGCAUGGUGUAGGGUUGAAAGAUGGUUUCGGCUAUCACUUUAGGAUGGACCCGCGGUGCAUUAGUUAGUUGGUGAGGUAAAGGCUCACCAAGACCGUGAUGCAUAGCCGACCUGAGAGGGUAAUCGGCCACACUGGGACUGAGACACGGCCCAGACUCCUACGGGAGGCAGCAGUAGGGAAUCUUCCACAAUGGACGAAAGUCUGAUGGAGCAACGCCGCGUGAGUGAAGAAGGUUUUCGGAUCGUAAAACUCUGUUGUUGGAGAAGAAUGUAUCUGAUAGUAACUGAUCAGGUAGUGACGGUAUCCAACCAGAAAGCCACGGCUAACUACGUG
rnacentral:rRNA from 1 species